UUUCUCAAAGAUACAACAGUCUCCUACAAGAAAUAAGCAAAUUCAUUCCACAAGUACCACCCUCUGAAAAGCCUUGGAAACACAGAUUCUACUCUGAAUUACUACAAACACUUUAGAUUUUGGUCUACAUGUAUAACAGUAUAUAUAUAUUGCUUCAAGAAGUUACUAAGAAAUCAUAUUUCCGCCACAUAGAACUGUUUAAGUUAAGGCUAAUCCACACAUGUUGA